ensembl:lncRNA
UUAAAUCACUCUCCAUAUGGACAGUUUCCAAAUAUUUCCCCCAAUUCUGUGGGUUUCCUCUUCACUUUGUUAAUUGUUUUUUUUUUUUUUUUUUUUUUUUUUUUUUUUGCUGUGCAGAAGCUUUUUAGCUUGAUGUAAUUCUAUUGUCUAUUUUUGCUUUGGCUGGCUUUGCUUUUGAGGUCUUACACACAAAAAUAUUUGCCCAGACCAAUGUUCUGGAGCAUUUCCCAAAUUUUCCCUUUUGGUAGUUUAAUAGUUUCAGGUCUUAGACUUAAUACUUUGAUCUAUUUUGAUCUGAUUUUUAUGUAUGUUUCAUUUUGUUUUGUUUUUCUGAGACAGGGUUUCACUUUUGUUGCCCAGGCUGGAGUGCAAUGGUAGGAUCUCAGCUCACCGCAACCUCUGCCUCCUGGGUUCAAGUGAUUCUCCUGCCUCAGCUUCCCGAGAAGCUGGGAUUACAGGCAUGCACCACCACACUUGGCCAAUUUUGUAUUUUUAGUAGAGACAGGGUUCCUCUAUGUUGAUUAGGCUGGUCUGGAACUCCCACCUUCAGGUGAUCCACCUGUCUCCACCUCCCAAAGUGCUGGGAUUACAGGCAUGAGCCACUGUGCGUGGCUGACUAUUCUCUUUAAAGAUAUUGUCAUUACAAAUAUAUAUUGGGAACUUAUCAUGUGUCAGUGUCAUUGCUUUAAGCACUUUACAUAUAUUAACCUACCUAUUUUCCAAAAUAAUCCUGAAAGAUAGAUACCCUUAUUUAUUUAUUUUUAUUUUACAGUUGAGGAAAAUGAGAUACAGAGAGACUAAAUAAUUUGUCAGGUUUUAAGAUAUAGGCACCCACUAUCUUGUGAGAUGGUAGGUAAGGAAAGCAGUCUAGAAGAAACAUGCACCAUGGUGAAAGGGAUGUAGUCAAGAAUGCAUAAGAAACAUGAUCACCCCCAAGAAUUACAAGGAAAGAAGUAGUAGAAGUGAGAUUUGAAAGGUAGUUGGGAGCUUGUCCGAGUUUGGCUUUACAUGUCAAGCCAGGGAGCUUAAACUGCAUCCUAUAGGAGGUGCUACUAUUUCUACUUCCAGCUGCUUUCCUGGUCAUUGAUCCCAAAAAUUUGUGCCUGAGAAGACUGCACAUAAGGUGGUAGUCCUAGGAAUGGCUGUUUCUGCUGUCCCUCAGUGGCUCUGGUCUCAACAUAGGACAUCAUUAGAGCUGCUUUGUUAUUAAAUUCAGUUAGUUGAUCUAGUAUUUUAUAUUUUAUUUUAUUUUUGAGGUCAGGUCUCGCCCUGUUACCCAGGCUAAAGUGCAGUGGCGUGAACGUGGUUCACUUCAGCCUCAACCUGUCAGACUCAAGCGAUCCUCCCACCUCAGCCUCCCAAGUAGGUAGGAUGAUAGGCCUGCUACCAUGACUGGAUGUUUCUAAUUUUUGUAAAGACAGGGUCUCACUAUGUUGCCCAGGCUUGUCUUGAACUCCUCGGCUCAAGCAAUCCUCCCACCUUGGCUUCCCAAAGUGUUGGGAUUAUAGAUGUGAGCCACCAUGUCUGGCUUGAUAUUUUAAAACCAUGAUCAUUUUGGGAGGAUAAUGUCAAACCAGAAAGACUGAAAAAUAAUUCCCUCUAUAACUGUUCUCACCUUGUUUAGAAAAUAUACUAUCAUCAUGGUUGGUUUAUCUUUGGACUAAGUUUGUAAAACCUACAGUAGCAAACAGGUUCUAUGCCUAUGAGAAAUAGAAAUAGGAGUAGAAAGACCAGGUCUAGUGCUGGCUCUGGCUCUGCCAAAUGCCAGCCGUAUGAAUGUGGGUAAGUCAUUUGAACAUUCUGGACCUCGAUGUUUUCAUCUUAUACAUAAGAAUAAGAAUUACUAAUCUGCUUAACUAAUAAGAUUUUCAGGAACAUUCAAUAAGAUAAUCUCAGUAAAAGCUUUUUGUGUACUAUAAAGCAUACAUGUUAA